AAUUCCAGCAAUGAUUUAUCCCUUUUCAAUUAUUAACUUUGUCUCAAAAUUGAUGUGUAGCUUGAUCUUCAAGUCCUUCAACAUCAUGCCAAUUUUCACCUUAAUCCAACUAAUAGAUCUUUAGAUAUCAUAGAAAUCCUACCCAACCUCAAACUGCCACCUUCCAAAAUCCUCUUGUGCUAAAAACUAGAUAUCUCUAAACCAUCCCGUUAGAUUAUCACAAAAUUUUGUAUACACUUAGUACACUCAAUAAUCUAAAUAGUACCAAGUUUUCAACCAUAGAUGUUACACCAAUUGCACGAAAUAGCCAAAAUUAUUAGUCCUAAUUAUAUUAUAUAAAACCCAAAUCAUUGAUACAAACCCUGACUUUGAACAACAAUUGCUAAGUCUUCCAAAACCCUUUCAAAAAAAUUCUUAUGUAUUUGGAAAGAACUUCAAGAUAGCUCUAAAAUCUUAACCUUUGAUCUUUGAAUGAUCCCCUAUUUUGUCCUAGGCCGUCAUUUUGGUGGCUAGAGGUUUGAUUUCAACCCUGUUUCACAAAUAGUCAAUCUCCAGGUAUCAAUCUAACCUAUUGUAGAAUAGGUAAAUAAAUUUUGUCGUAAGCUACUAGUUGGUUAUUGAAAACCUUGACAUUUAGACUUAUGGUUAGAUAGUUUAGUUGAUAAUAGUAGAUUGUUAGUGGAAUAAAUGGUUAAGAAUUCAAAGGGUCAUAACCUUUGGAAUCUGCUGGCCGAUGGAUCAUCUUUUUUGUAGGACAAAGAGGUUGAGGAAAGAGAGAUCAAAGCCAGACUGUGAGAGUCGUAAGCCAAGGUAAGCUUAGUGCUACCUCUUUAUUUUUUUUAUUUUUAUUAUUUUUUUAUGACAAAUUGUAAUUGAGAGAAGUAUUGUUGAAACUAUGAUUAGAAUAUUGUGGAAUAUGGCUUAGGACUGACCGUUUUAGAGAAGAUCUAUGACCUUGAGAAUUGAGAUUAUCGAAUUGUAUUUUGUUAAGUGAAGAUAUUUAAUUCUGUGUGAUGAAUUGAGAAACUGAAUAUAAUAAGAAAGCUAGAGAUCAGUAAUUAAAUAUAUAUAAACCGCAAAGGGAGUAAGUGGGAGAUGAAUUGAUAAGAAUAUGGAAGUAUUAUUGAAUUGAUAGUCGUAGAAUAGAUUAUGUAUUGAAUUAAGAUGGAAGUAGUAAGCCUUGGUGUUUUUUAGUUUGAUAAUUGAUUUUAGAUAGCUAGAGUACAAUCAAUUAUGACUUUAAUACAUCCAAUUCAUAUAACCAAUCUUUCCCUGUGUUCGAAUCCACCUCUAUUAGUUCAAUUGCUUUGAUAUAUCAAAGCUUGAAUGCAACGAGAACAACAUUUUGGCACCGCUGCCGGAGAAAUGAUAACAAUAUGAAAUAUUAGAAAUUGAUUGUAUGAGAAGAAUGAAAGAUUAUGAGUAAUAAUUAUGAAGGGGAGGAUUAUCAAAGAAUUAAUCGAUUAGCAAAAGAAAGACAGGAGUGAUUACGUAUAAGAAAUCUCCUACGGAAACGAAAAAAAAGAAUUAUAUGUCCAAAUAAAACCAAAGGAAGAAAAAUUCAAAUUUAGAUAGCAAGGAGACUAGUGAUAACACCAAUGGUUGCGGGAGUGCUAGAAGUAUCAAUUGCAGUACAAAUGGGAGCAGUAGGAGACCGAACUACAAGUGUGGCACUAUUAUCUACUUUUAGUGGUUGUCGAGCUUUGAUCCCAAUUACCAUAUAUCUCAAUUUUUGACAACUUACAUGGCUAAUAAUGGUAGAAUUGAAGACAUUUGGUUAAGAUGGUUGCGAGCAACUUUAAAAGAUACAGCUUUUAAAUGGUAUAAUCGACAACGAGUGGAUAGAUUUCUCAAUUGGGAGGCCUUAAGGAACGCCUUCCUAAUCCAUUUUAGACCAAUUGGAUUUGAAGAUUGGCUUUGAGAAAGUUUUAUGAAUAGCAGGAUGUUUGUGGGGGAAUCAGUAGAGUCCUAUUAUGGUCGGGUCACGAAUAUACUUUGUAAAUGGUCAAAUAAUCAAAUGCCAGAUGUGUUUAUAUUGUCAAUAUUAAUUAAUGGUUUGCAUCCACCAGAAUUAAAAAUGUUUGUAAAAGAGGCUCGACUAGCUACAAUAGAGGCAUCAUUGGCACAAGCAAAGGUGUCGGAAGAAUGUCAUUAUGACCAAUUAUUAAUAGUGGAGGCCACGAUGAUUCGAAAUUCAAGAAGCCAACAAAUACAAUCGAGAAAUGUGUCGAUGGAUAAUUAUCUACAAAUGGCUGAUUCCAACAUGAAGAAUGUUAUGUUGCAAAAAUCAAUUAAUGCUAUACCACUCCAAGCAAUAGUGUCAAUAACAAAGACACCUUAUUUUACAUCACCAAUCUAUCAGCAAUCGGAGUUGUUCACAAAUGUGACUGUUAAAGAUCCAAAUGAAGCCUUGUUAUUAAAUCUAACAAAGAAGAUGGAAGAAUUGGCUGUAAAUUUGAUUAAAGAUAAGGAAAAAUGACAUAAGCCUUGUAAUACGAGACCUAAUGUAUGGUAUAAUAAUUGUAAGAGGCAAGGUCACUUUGAUAUGGAAUGUCCAUCAUCCAGACAAACGGGUGUUCAAUGUACAUUUAUUGGAGGAAAACACCCUACCUAAAACUGCUGGCAUUUACAAAGGCAACAAUAAUUCAGUAAUCAGACCAUGAUCCCAUCGACUCAGUGAAAAGUCUAUCAAGUUCAAAUAGAAAAUACGUAUGGAUGGAAUGAAAAUCGAUCUAAUCGAAAAAAUUGAACAUUCAAUAACUUUCAAAGUUUCAAUUUUAAUCAGGGGUCUGCAUCAAACCAUCAGAACUAUGGGAAGGAGCAGUAGAGGUAUCAGCAAUAUGUUCGAUCAGCGUCAUUGAACCAAAUACCCUAUGUACAAAUGAGACAACCAGGAUCAUUUUCUAACCCUAUUUAGAACAAGCUUAGUAGGUAUAUAUUGGUGGAGACACCCACUAUGUCAGAUGGAGGUGCAAGAAGACCACUUUGCUGUUUCCGUUGCAUAUAGAUUGCUCAUUAUGCUAGUGAAUGUCCCAAUCCCAGAGCCAGUGAUAAUUAUGUGCCAGUGUGUAUGAAUUGCAAGCAGUCAAGAUAUACUUAUCAGCAAUGUAAUGCUCUGUUCAAUUUCAAUAAUCGAAACUAGCAAAUCCAAAGCCAAAGAAAAAUGGAGGACAUAAAUCAAGGUCUCUAAGAUUCUCUGAUAAAUCGGAUGGAAUGUGCCCAAGCCAUUCUUAUCAGGAGUCAGAAAAAAAAGAAAGGACCAAUUCAAUAUUUGGAUAAUCCUGAAGCAAAAGGCCAAUUAGACCUAAUUAUGGCGACAUCCAAUCCAGGUCUUGAAAUGGGCCCCUUACUCAGUAUAAGACCUAAAUCGGUUGUGCACCCUAAUGAGGUACCGAUUACGGAGGCUUUGAUUCCAUCUCAAGCUAUUCCGUUGUCAUAUUACGUGCUUUCCUGCUCGAGAAUGCAUCGGACGUCUGGCUGUAGAAGGUAGUAUAGAGAUUCGCCAAUAUUCAAGCAGUUUAUCGAUUUUUGACUAUUGGAAUAUAAACAACUACAAGAAUACACCGUAAAUCUAUACGGAUGCCCUUUGACUGCUUGUCGAAGUCCUUUUUGCCCUAGCCGAUAGGUCUCUAGACGUUAUAGAGAACCCCGAACAAUCCAAACUGCUAAUCUUCGAUACCGCUUUAUACUCACGAUCUUGUAUCCACUGACUGUCUUGUUAGAUUAAUCCAAUAAAUUUCAUUCACUCCGCAUACUCAACCCUAUAGGCACCCUUUUAACUCUUCAUCACAAACAUAACUCGAUUUCACAAAACAGUCAAGAGUAAUCAAACCCACUUCAUUAAAAAUCCCGAUUCACCAUUACAACACUGACUUCAGCAACAAUUGCCUCAGUCUUCCCAAAACCCUAUGAAGAAAAAAAAAUCCAAUUCUCUGUCUUUUUUCUCCGCCCGAAGCAUGAAGCUAGCUCUCUGAUUCUUCAAAAAACUCCCCCAAAAACUUCUUCUCUCUCCUCUCAUUUCUUAACCUUAAUUUUGAAUUUCUUCAAUCCUCCGUCUUGGAUCCGGAAUUGGCUCUUGCCGUCAGAGCUUGAUCUGAAAUUGACUCUUGCUGUCAAAGCUUUCUCCUCCGUUUUUACCUUUAAGAGCUCCUUUUACCGAAAGGACGUUUCCGAAAUGACACAAAAGACGGAACAGCCUGAAACGGAAUUGGAGCCACGUAAUCGGGACCACAUUGAGUCGCCCGACCAAUUCAGGUCUCAUAUUGGCUAAGAGUCCAAUAGUAAGACCCGGAUGUUCCCGAAAUUGGAUCAAAUUGGUCUUUCACGUCAGAUUGGCUGAGGCCCGUAGUAAGACUUGGAUUUUCCCGUAAUUAGACUGCAUUGGAUUGCCCGAAUAAUUCAGGUCUCAUAUUGGGUAAGAGGACCCGGAUUAGAUUCUUGAAAUUGGAUCCAAUUGGCUCUUCGAACUAGGCUCACCCGUCGUGUGAAUUGGUCCUUUCCCUUCCUGCUGACUCCCGUUAUUGGAAUCAAACGGAGCAUUUCAGUAUGCCCCGGCUGAUUGUAAUGGGGUGACUGAACCUGGCCACUCAACAUUUGCACUGGAGUUGGUCGUUGCUCCCAAUAUUCGAGGUAACUGAACAUUAAUAAAAGUCCCCUUUCUUUAUAUUUUCACGAUAUACUCGUGUUACAACACGACACCGUUCUCUACACAGUUUUGAGAAACAUCCUUUUCAUUAAAAGAUCCUCUCCGAGGCGUGAAUUCCAAGGAACCAAUAUCAACUCAAUUGAGAGAACAAUCUUACCCGUUGAAAGAACCGAUUUUACAAGCUCCAUCAAAUUUAAUUUGAAUAGCUUUACCAAUAUAGAGAAUACCAAUAUACCUAUGUUGGUGUCUAGGACUGGGAAGAAGAAAUGGACAUUGAAAAUUACUACUAAUACAGAAUCAUAUGAUAUUCUAAAAGAUUUGGGCACCAUACAGUCCACGAUUUCUAUGAAGCAACUAUUGGCGGUAGCACCUGAGUGCCAAAUUAUCUUGAAUUCUUCAUUAAUUCAUCGUAGGUCUCGAAAUAAAGAAAUCCGAGAAGUAAGUUUGAAUCCCGAUCUGGGUGCAUCAAUGAUUGAUGUCUCAAUUGAUGGAGUAUUACUAUCAAGAGUGCAAGUAGACGGAGGAUCUAGUGUAAAUCUUAUGAAUAACACUACAAUGGAGGAGCUGGGUUUGCAUCACCUAUUCCCUACUACAGUAGUUUUGAGAAUGGCUGACUCUAGUCGAGUUAAACCUAUGGAUAUUUUAUGAAGUAUUGAUAUAGUAAUUCUGGAGAUUACCUACAAAAUUGAUUAUAUUCUUUUUCGAUUGCAAAGUUCUAUAUUGUCAUACCCAAUUUUAUUGAGGCAAGCUCGGUUGUAUCAAACUAAAGCUCGAAAUGAUUGGGGCCGUGGUACAUUGACAAUUGAGAAAUAUAAUGAUAAAAUUAUACUUUAAAUGUACCUUGUCCAAUAUCAUGGAGAAAUUCAAUUGGCCAGUUUAGAAUUCAUGUCAGAUUGUGAAGAUGAGUCUAUAGAAGAAGAAAUUGGUACACUUGACCCAAUUUAUACUGAUACAAGGUAAGUUGUUGAGUACACUAGAAUGAAAUACCAGUGUAGGGGAUCGAGAGAGUUCUUAGUUCCUCUAGAUGUUAUUGACAAUUUUGAUCAUAUGAUUGCAUAUUGGAUGAAUAGACAGGAUGUUAAUCACAUUAGUACUAUGGAACUGGAGUUAGAAAGUUCUAAUUUGUCAGAUUUUAUGAAAGAUUUUGAAAUAGAGCAGAAUAUUUUUUUAGAGACUCUUGAAAUUCCACAAUGUCAAUCAAUUAAUUUAGGUACAAGGAAGGCUCCCCAAACCAUUUAGAUUUAUGACAGUAUAAAAAGCAAGGAGAAAGAAAUUUGGGUGGAUUACUUUUUAAUACAUAAAGCUACUUUUAUAUAGUCGUAUGCAGAUUUGAAAGGAAUUCCAGCUAAAGUUUGUGAGCAUCGAAUUAUAUUAGAGGAGAAUGCUACACCAAUACGCCAAAGAUGACAUCAACUUAAUCUAAAAUACUCACUUAUAGUAAAAGAAGAACUAAAUAAACUCUUGGAGGUUGGAUUUAUCUAUCCAUUUCUUUUCAGUGAAUGGAUUUCACCAAUUAUUAUGGUACUGAAAAAGAAUGAAAAAGUUUGCAUCUGUUAAGAUUUCUACAAAUAAAAUGUGACUACCAAGAAGGAUUAUUUUCUUUUACCAUUUAUGGAUAGUAUAUUGGAUGUUGUCACUGGAUAUGAAUAAUAUUCAUUUCUUGAUGGAUUCUCUUGUUACAAUAAAGUAAAAAUUGCAAAAGAAGACCAGUUAAAAACUACUUUUAUUACGGAUUGGGGGACCUUUUGAAAAAUGGAGAAUUGAUUUUGUGGGACGAAUUGCACCAGUCUCGAGAAAUGGACAAAAAUGAUGUAUACUGGUAGCAAUAGAUUAGAUAACAAAAUAGGCUGAAGCUGUAGCUAUGAAAACCGAUAGUACAAGUACAAUAGCAACCUUUUUGUAUGAAAAUAUUAUUAUAUGGUUCAGUUGUCCACAAGAAUUGGUUAGUGAUCCAGGAACUCAUUUUAUAAAUAGUACAAUCGAAGCACUUAUGGUUAAAUACAAGAUAAAACAUCAUAAGACUACAUUGUAUCACCUUAGAGCCAAUGGAUAAACGGAAAAGACUAAUAGAAUUUUAUGUAAAAUCUUAACAAAAAUAAUUUCAGGAGUGGGAACAAAUUGGGAUACUAAAUUGUUUGCAGCUUUAUGGGCAUACCACAUUACGUAUAAAAUUACUACCAAUACUAUGCCUUUUUAAUUGGUUUAUGGCCAGAAAGUAAUAUUACCUAUUGAAUUGGAAGUCGAAAGUUUACGAAUUGCUAUAGAUAAUAGAUUGGAAGAUCAGGAUUCAUUACGGCACCAUUUGGAAGAAUUAAAAAAAUUGGAUGAAACUAAAAUCAAUGUAUUAAUGAUAAUGGAAACUACACAAAAACGAAGGAAGACUUAUUAUAAUAGUAAGCUUAGACCAAAGGCUUUUAUGCUAAAUGAUUUGGUUCUUUAUUAUGAUAGUCAAUUUAAAAAUUUUCCAGAAAAAUUUCAAGUUCGAUGACAUAGGCCAUAUCGAGUUAUUGACGGAUUUCCAAAUGGUUCAAUGUAAUUGGAAGAUUUUAUGGGUACUAAAUUUACGACACAGAUCAAUGGCAAUCGGCUUAAAAUUUACUAUACAUAAAUUCGGGACAGGUUUUUUGUUACAAAAGGAUGGAGAGUUGAUCCAAUUGAUUGGACCAUAGUUAGAAGUAGGAGGAGGGCUCUUGACAAGCAUCGUAUUUUUUUUUUGUGGUUAAGGAGAAGUGGAUGGCGGAAAAGGAGAAGAUGGCGAACAUGGUGUCUGAGAAAGCAAGAAUGGAGAUCGAUUGGAAGGAACGACAAGAGCGGCUGCAGGUUGAAGUUACGAUGUUGUAGACUAAACUAGCUGCAUUAACAAAGGAGGCCAAUAAUUUAGUGCGGACCAAUAUGCCAAUUUCAGCGACAACACCUUCAGAGAUAUACGCUGCUACGUCUUUAUAAGUUGAGGCUAAAUAAUAUUUGUGACGACGCUCUACAAUUAAGAGGGGCUAUGUAGAAUAGGUAAAUAAUAGGUAGAAUAGGUAAAUUUUGUGGUAAGUUAUUGGUUGGUUAUUGACAACCUUGAAAAUUAGACUUAUGGUUAGGCAGUUUAGUUGGUAACAGUAGGUUGUUAGUGGAAUAAAUGGUUAAGAAUUCAAAGGGUCAUAACCUUUGGAAUCCAUUGGUUGACGGAUCAUCUUUUUGGUAGGAUAAAGAGGUUGAGGAAAGAGAGAUCGGAGCUAGAUUGUGAGAGUCGUAAGCCGAGGUAAGCUUGGUACUACCUCUUUGUUUUCUCUGCUUUUAUUAUUUUCUUAUGAAGAAUUGUGAUUGAAAGAAGUAUUGUUGAAACUGUGAUUAGAAUAUUGUAGAAUAUGACUUUGGACUGACCAUUUUGGAGAAAAUCUUUGACCUUGAGAAUUGAGAUUAUCAAAUUAUAUUAUAUUAAGUAAAGAUAUUUAAUUUUGUAUAAUGAAUUGAGAAAAUGAAUAUAAUAAGAAAGCUGGAGAUCAGUAAUUAAAUAUAUAUAAACCAUAAAGAGAGUAAGUGGAAGAUGAACUGAUAAGAAUAUAAAAGUAUUGUUGAAUUGAUAGUCUUAGAAUGGAUUAUAUGUUGAAUUAAGAUGGAAGUAAUAAGCCUUGGUGUUUUGUAGUGCGAUAAUUGAUUUUACAUAGCUAAAGUAUAGUCAAUUGUUACACUAACAGAUCCAAUUCAUAUAACUAGUCUUUUCCCGUGUUCGAAUCUACCUCUAUUAGUUGAAUUACUUUGGUAUAUCGAAGCUUGAACACAACGAGAAUAACACCUAUUCUAAGGUGUUUUUAGCACAAAUCCACUUUCAAAUUAAUCCUAGUAUCAACUAUACUAAUUAUUUAUCUCUUCCAACCUGAUUUUAUUAAUUUAUGGUCUUUCUAAGAUAGUAGAAGAGUCUCUAUAACCUAAAAGGUAAAAUUACUAAUUAACCUUCAAUCUACUAACUAUUAAGAUAAGAAAAUAAUAUAAGAAGCUUUUAUGAAAGCCAUGUUUAGAUACCUCAAAUUAUAAUUGAAUUAAGAUAAUUAGAUAUUAAUUAGAAAUUCAAUUUUAAUUAUAAUUUUACUAUAUAGUUGUAUUAUAUCACGACAUCCAUCUCUUCUUAAUCUGCGCAUCCUCCGGCAUGUGCCAAAUGAACCAUAUGUCAUAAUUGGCAUCAUACCAUCUCUUCAUUUUCUUUGUUAAAUCCUUCAUUUCUAUUUUCACCGUCCUCUUCAAAAUAAUUAUCUUCUUCAAAAAUAUCAAUAUCUUCAACAUGAUCUUCUAUAUUGAUUUCUCUAUCUCGUCUUUUAAAAAUCUUCACUUGCUUCCCAACAAUAGGUAUUUUCAAUUUGGUACCAUAUAAUGAAUAUGUGGCAUUAUUAUGAACCAUUACUACGACAUAUGGUCCAAACUAACGUUUUGAAAAUUUUUGCAAAGUAUUAUGUUGAUUAUCGAAACUGCUAUCAUAAAUAAGUAUCCAAUCAUCUUUUUCAAUUACUCUAGGCCUCAAUCGAUGUUGCUUAUCAAAUUGAGGCUUAUUUCCUAACCUUGCCUUUUGUAACCUUUGUAAUGCUAAUUCCACAUCUUUCAAUCUUUGUUCAAGUUGUCAGAUUCUAAUGGCUAACAAUUCUUCUCUUGUCAAUCCAUCUUCCCAUGGUAGCAUACUCCAAGUUGGCACAUUUUUUUCAAUUGGCAUAAUUGGUUUUUGACUUGUCAUAAGUUCUACUAGCAUAUAUCCUGUCACCGAAGUAUGUGUUAUUCGAUUAGUCCAUAAUGCAUAACGUAGAAGUCAAGGCUAUUCUCUCACUCUUCUAUUGCAAGCUUUAAUUAAGGCUUUUUCAAUUGGUGGAUGCCCACGUUGACUCUUUGCAUUCCCUUCUAGAUUAUAAGCAAUAAUCAAUGAUAAUUUGAUCCCACAUCUCUUAAAAAAAUCACGAGCUUUAUGUGUAUGUAAUUCUUCUCAAUUUGCAGUGAUCUUUCUCAUACAUCCAUAGUGACAAAUAACUUCUUCAAGUAAAAAUCUGUAAAUUCCCUCUCUUGACUUUGUUCUUAAUGCCUUACCUUCUACUUGGUUUGAUAAAUCUUUACGAGCCAAAACUAAAUAUCUCAUUUGUCAUAAUCUCAUCAGUAUAAUAACCAAAUCCACAACCCAUUUAAAAUGAAUAGCCAAAGGAUAUGUCAGAUGCAAUCCAUCUCGAUGUUGUAUAUUUGAAUAUAUCUGACAAGUUACACAAGAUUCUACAAAUAAAUUUAUAUCUCAAUAUAUAUUCUUCCACCAAUAUUGUUCCUUCAUUUUAGCAAAAGUAGCCCAAAUUCCUUUAUAUCCCACCCAUAGAUUCUCAUGAAACUCCUUGAAUAGUCUUUGUUGAUCUUCUUUGGUACCUACUAUUCAUCUUGGCAUUCCAAUUCCUUUCUUUGGUCUCUUCCAUAAAAACCCUUCUUAAAGCAAAAAUCCAUAAGCCUUCUUUCUUAUUUGAUUAAAUUUUUUUGUUGACCAAUUUUCUUGUUUAAUCAAGGUAUUCAAAUAAAGACUAAUUUUUAAUAAUUCUCCUUCAUAAAGCUCUUCAAAAAACAUCUUGUCUUCCUUAUUAAGAUUUGAUACUGAAUAGAAUUUUGUUUCAACAUCAUCAAUAUCUUCAACCAUCUUGUCUUCUCUUUCAUAUACUACUCGAGAUAACAUAUCUACUACCGGAUUGUCUUUCUCCACAAUAUGCCUAAGUUCUGGAUUUAGUGAUUUGAUAUAAGUAAUCUAUCUCAACAUUGCAAUAUCUGAUGUUGUACAAUUGGUAAUUAUUCCAAGUAAAGACAAACAAUCUUUUUUAAUUAUCACCAUAGCUCCAAUUAAAUAAUUCUUUUCAGCUUUUAUAGCUGAAACAAUUCAUCAUAGUUCCAUUUUCACCUAUGAAUAUGUACAUUGGCAAGUACUUAAAAUUUUAGCUCCAAAUCGUACUACAAAUCUAUAUCCAUUUGAGUCAUCUUGACCUAUAGCCCAUCCAAUGGCAAUCGGACUAGUAUCCACAGUAAGAAUCAUUAGUCUAUUGCACUUAUAAUCAACCUUUCUUAACAUUGGACGUGAUAUCAAUAAUUUCUUCAAUUUUUACACUACUUUAACAUACUUUUAUUUCCAUUUAAAUCGAUAGCCCUUGUAUAACAGUUCAUAUAAUGGAUCCGCUAUAUGAGCAUAAUGAGGGAUUCAAAUAUGAUAAAAUAUACAUACACCUAAAAACCUACAAAUCUCUAUUAAAAAACUACAAUCCUCUUUUAUUCUCACAAUCGCAUCAACUUUAGUCGGAUCUGGUUUUCUUCCAUAAAAUCUACAUAAAUGUCCAAAAAUCACAAUCUCUUGUACUCCAAAUAUAAAUUUUGUACUUCAUAAUAUAAGAUGAAUUUGUCCAAAUUAAGUCAAUAUUUUUUUACAAUCUUAUAUAUGAUCAGCAACAUACUUGCGACAUCCCUUCUUAUCUAAAGUUUCAUCCUUGUCUUCUUCUUUGCACCCCUUUAUAGGAACAUCAUCCAAAAAAGGUAUAGUCUUCUUAGGAAUAAAAUGUCUGAAUAUCUUAUUCAUCCCAUUCAUCAUAUGCACAACUGAGUUGGUUGCGCCUUAAAGAAGAGUAUACAUUCUAACUAAUCCAAGUGGUAUUCUCAUUGUUGUCAUAUCUCUACUUCCUUCUACAAGUUAAAAUUGGUCAUAGCCCAAAUACAAAUCAUCCAUUGAAUAGAUUGCCUUUCCUACAAAUGCCUCAAUAAAUUCAUCUACUAUAGGGCCAAUUCCUACAUUUCUGAUAGUUACUGCAUUCAUUGGUUGCAUAUCUUGAAUAAAAUAUAAUGACCCAUUUUUCUUAGGCACUGUAAACCAUCGACUAGAAUAUGAUACAAAAGAAGGCUCCAAAAUCUUCAUCUUUAUCUUUUCUUUUAAUAAUUCCACUAAGCUUGGUAAAUGUGUCCUUGGUAGUGGAAUUGGCCUUAGAUUCUAAGGUACAUGUAGUACAGUGAAAAUAACCAUAGUUUGGUAACUUUCGAUGCUUUAAAAGAUUCAAUCAUACCAUAAACUUUUUUUGAAUGAAUUGAUAUAACUUUAUCAUUAUUACCUAAUCCAAUAUACACAAUCAAUUCCAAAACAUCUUCCAGUUCAUUUUCUUCAUAAAUAUCAAUAAUCUUUUUAUUAUCUUCUAAUAUUCCUAACCUAUACAAUUCUUUUUCAAUAGUACUUAAUUUCUUCAUUUUUUUUAUUUUAAAAUCAUCAAUCUUUUUAUACAUAUUGCUUCUAUUUUCAAAAAUAUUAAUAAAUCUUCUAUUAAAGGUACCUACAUCUUGUGAGAGUACCUCUCUUUUUAUACCUCUAUAAUCUCGUUUUAUAGUGGUACCUCCAAAAAAUCCUUGAAUUCUUCAACAACCCUUGGCAAUAGAUUUUCUUUCAAUUUGUCUCAAUUCUGCUCAUGAUUUGGAAGCACAGUCAAAAACUAUAUUGCCCUCCUUCCAUCCUCACUACAAAUUCAUGUGUAAGCUGAACCAUCAUCGAGUACCUUUGUUUCUAUCCGAGUUUUAAUAAUAUAUAGUUGUCUCAAAAUAAAAAGAUAAGAUAUUCCAUCUUAAAUAAAAAAAAAAUUGCUCCAUUGUAACAUCACCAAUCCAAAUUUUCACAUUUGGGCAAGCACCAUAUAACUUCCCUUGUAUAUUAUUAACUAUCCAUAUUAUCCAUCCAUGCUCUAUAUCAAUUGGCCAUCUUUGCUUCAUAUAAAGAUCCUUAGACAUAAGAUUUAUUUCUGAACCAUGGUCAAUUAAAGCAACAAUUGGCUCAUCCAUAUCUCCAAUCUUCACUAAUCCCUCUGUAGUUGCUCUAAUUCAAUACUUCUGAGUAUAAUGACUUAAAAUCUUUCUAUCUUUAUUACUUUGAUCAUCAAAAUGUAUCCUUUGAUUAUAACUCCUCCCUUCAUUUGCUAAUUGUUUGUAAUAAUUAUCAAGUACAACUUUUUCACCUUCAAAUAUAUGUGCAUCAAUAGCAUGAUUCAAUCUAUCUUCUCUCAUUAAUUACUUCUUUUGUUUCAUACUGUCAAUAAUGACAUUAUAGAAUUCUUUCUUGGCAAUUCCUAAAUUUUUUUUCAAUGUAAACUCAAUCUUAGCAUUGAACACACGUUCUUCAAGCACUCCCUUUAAAUCUAUUGCCGCUUCAAUAUCAAAGAGUAGUUUAUAAGUUGUCAAUUUAUCUUUAUCUUUUAUCUCCUUUACUUUUUCUUUCGAUAUUAUUGAAGUAUCCUUUGUGGGCAAUUCUUAUAAAGCCGCUGCACGAGCUUUAUCUCCUCGAGUUUACUUCUUAGAAGAAUUUCCUUUUCUUGAAUCAUCAAAAUUUCUUCUCUUCUUUUCUUCCAUUAAAGCUUCAUGUUGGCUUUUAGCAAUAUAUGCAUGUACUAACAAAGCUUCUAUAAGAUCCUUCCAACCUGUAGCACCAUAAAUUAUUGCAACAGUUCUCAGUAAUGCUUUCUAUCGCAUCUGUCAAGGACAAGAACUCGAUAAAAAAGAAAUACAGACAAAAGAGCAUUCACUCAAAGAAAGAUAACAAAAUAUAAAUAAACAAGUAUGUAUAUUGAAAAAAAAAUUGAAAUGGCUAUUGCCAAAAGACAAGAAAACUAGAGAUCCUUGAAACUAGACUAAAAGCAAGAAAGGAGUUGACAAGAGUGAAGAGGGCUUCACUCUUGCCUCUAUAUAUAUUAUUUAACUAGGGGCUAUGUGGUGACGUUCUAUAAGACCUCCAAUAUGUGUUGACUUUGAAGGACACAUGCCUUGACUUACAAGGUAAGUUUUUUUAUGUGUGGGCCACAUAGUUAGCUUGAUCUUCAAGCUAACAACAUGUGUGGUACAUGGCCAACUUGUUGACCACAUUUCUAAUCCAAAAAGUCAAUUAAAGACACCUAUGAAGUCAAAGCAACGUCUAUGAAGCUUCUAAAAAGCUUUCAUAUUAAAUACUAUAGAAUUAACUUAUUUUUACCUACUUUUACUUACUUCCACCUAUUUAUAUAUAUAAUUACUAGCUUACAUGAGUAUGUCUGUGACAACAUCUUCUCUUUUUACAUUGUAGAAAUAGCAAAAGACCAAAGUCCACUUGAUUGAAUAUUUCUGACAUAAUUUUGUCUGCCAUCAUUAUCCACCCUAGUUCCAUAACUUGCAGCUUCUAUUGCCACAAUUCCAUGUGUUGUUAAAUAAUCUUUAAUCAAUGCUUUUAUGCCUCCUUUACCAAAGUUGGUUUUGGAGAAGAUCACGAGUAUCUUUCAAUGCAACCUUUCCAUCUUUUCAAUAAACAAUGUCUUGUUGUACUAUCUCAUUAAAUUCACCACAAUCUUUUCGAGAAUGAGAAUCAUCAUCACAUCAAAUACAUCUUUGCACAUAUCCUUAUUUAAAAGUAGCCUUUGAACUUAUUGUAGAAGUCUUUUCUUCAAGCCUUGCAAGUUUGAUUUUAAGAUCUCGCAUCCCUCAAAUAAUCUCCUCAAGUUCCAUAUCUUCUUUCUUUGGUGUAGUCAAUGGAGGUUGGACAAAAGGCACAGUCAAUCUUAUAGUAGGCAUUGGAGUCUUUGAAACUUGUUUCACUUAUUGAGUACCAAACUCAUCCUUUCUCCUUUCUUUUUUUACAAGUAAUCCAAUAGCAUCUUCAACAGCUCUCCACUUUGUUGUCAAUCCUUCUUUUUCUUCUUUAUCUUCAAGAAGAACCUCUAACUUCUCUUGUAAUUCUUCAUUAGCAACUUGAAGAAACAAUUCAACCUUACUUGGUCUCAAUGUUAACUUUUCCAUUUUUGAUAAUUGAAAAAAUUAUCUUUCAAAUUCUCUUAAUAAUUCUAUAGCUUGCAAAUUUUUGUUAGGUUGCUCAAUCCAUUCCAAGAAUGAUUUCUUGGUAACUCGAUUAGUAUCUUCCAAAAAGUACUCAUCCUUCAAUGCAUGUAAAAAUACCUCCCAUGAACUUUCAAAUUGCUCCAUAAUAGAUCUUAUAUGCUCUCUUAUCUCUGAUACCAUAACAAAUUCAAAUAAUUGAAUCAUCUCCUUCUCAGAAACACAAUUCAAUUCCAUUUUUUGCACAUUAUAACUUAAAUAUUUGAAAAUAUUCCUCCUAUCAAAUUGAUCAACCUUGUUAACCACUACUUGUAAUGCUUUGGUUGCCAAAGCCUCUUUGUGAUCAUUACCUUAUUGCUGUUGCAUAAAUAAUAUAAAUGCUUGAAACAUUUUUGCAAACUUUGGAUCAAAGUACAUACCUUAUUCACUGGUAGAAAUCCCACUUGAAGUUGCGCUUGAAGAUCUACUUGAAGUUCCACCCAAAGCUCCAUCAAAAAGUCUAAAUUCAACCUUCUUGCCUUCUUCUGCUAUUAAUUUUAAAUAAUAAAAAUUACAAUCCAAUACCUUCUACCCCAAACUUUCAUGUUGGGUUCACCACUUAUGUUGUAUUACAUGUUUUGCUUAGGAAUGUAUUGGGCAUCUAACUGUGGAAGGUGAAAUUGUGUUUCACAAGUAGCCAAGAAAUCCUAAUAGAUUUCAUCCAUACGAGAAGAAUGUAAUCUGAAUUUCAAUUCAAAAAUGCUUAAAACACUCUUCUUAGUAGUCUUAACCAUACAUAAAUCCCAAAUACCUUAUUACUUUCAUAUUUAAGCAAUUUAGAUUUUUCUUGUAAGUUCCAAUUCUAAUCAGUGAGCUUUAACAAGCUAUAACAUCCAAUCCAACCGUCCACUUGAUAUAGAAUUUAGCAUGCAAUUGUCAAUAUAAGUCUUCUAUAUGCUCAAGAAUUUUUAGUCCAAUCCAACUUAAAAAUUAUGAGAAAACCUCCAAAAAUUGUAUUGAUGUCACUCGGCCAUCAACUUGAAAAGUGAAGUAAAAAUUCCAGCAAUGAUUUAUCCCUUUUCAAUUAUUAACUUUGUCUCAAAAUUGAUGUGUAGCUUGAUCUUCAAGUCCUUCAACAUCAUGCCAAUUUUCACCUUAAUCCAACUAAUAGAUCUUUAGAUAUCAUAGAAAUCCUACCCAACCUCAAACUGCCACCUUCCAAAAUCCUCUUGUGCUAAAAACUAGACAUCUCUAAACCACGCCGUUAGAUUAUCACAAAAUUUUGUAUACACUUAGUACACCCAAUAAUCUAAAUAGUACCAAGUUUUCAACCAUAGAUGUUACACCAAUUGCACGAAAUAGCCAAAAUUAUUAGCCCUAAUUAUAUUAU
rnacentral:lncRNA from 1 species